rnacentral:rRNA from 1 species
AUUGAACGCUGGCGGCAUGCUUUACACAUGCAAGUCGAACGGUAACAGGUUAAGCUGACGAGUGGCGAACGGGUGAGUAAUGCAUCGGAACGUGCCCGAUCGUGGGGGAUAACGCAGCGAAAGCUGCGCUAAUACCGCAUACGAACUGAGGAUGAAAGCGGGGGACCGUAAGGCCUCGCGCGAUCGGAGCGGCCGAUGUCAGAUUAGGUAGUUGGUGGGGUAAAGGCUCACCAAGCCGACGAUCUGUAGCUGGUCUGAGAGGACGACCAGCCACACUGGGACUGAGACACGGCCCAGACUCCUACGGGAGGCAGCAGUGGGGAAUUUUGGACAAUGGGCGAAAGCCUGAUCCAGCAAUGCCGCGUGCAGGAAGAAGGCCUUCGGGUUGUAAACUGCUUUUGUACGGAGCGAAAAGGCUCUCUCUAAUACAGGGGGCUCAUGACGGUACCGUAAGAAUAAGCACCGGCUAACUACGUGCCAGCCGCCGCAGUAA